CAUCUGGCUUCUGUUACGUCAAUAAUACCGUCUUGGCCAUUCUGGAACUGCUAAAGCAUCACCAGAGGGUGCUGUAUAUUGACAUUGAUAUUCACCAUGGCGACGGCGUGGAAGAGGCCUUCUAUACCACAGACCGAGUCAUGACUGUGUCCUUUCAUAAGUAUAGAGAGUACUUCCCAGGAUCUGGGGACCUACAGGAUAUCGGGGCUGGCAAAGGCAAGUAUUAUGCUGUUAACUACUCGCUCCGAGAUGGGAUUGAUGACGAGUCCUGUGAGGCCGUUUUCAAGCCGGUCAGGUCCAAAGUAAUGGAGAUGUUCCAGCCUAGUGCGGUGGUCUUACAGUGUGACUCAGACUGCCUAUCUGGGGAUCGGUUAGGUUGCUUCAAUCUAACCAUCAAAAGGCACGCCAAGUGUGUGGAAUUUGUCAAGAGCUUUAACCUGCCUAUGCUGAUGCUGGGAGGUGGUGGUUACACCAUUCGUAAUGUUGCCCGGUGCUGGACAUACUAGACAGCUGUGGCCCUGGAUACGGAGAUCCCUAAUGAGCUUCCAUACAACGACUACUUUGAAUACUUUGGACCAGAUUUCAAGCUCCACAUCAGUCCUUCCAAUAUGACUAACCAGAACACGAAUGAGUACCUGGAGAAGAUCAAACAGCGACUGUUUGAGAACCUUAGAAUGCUGCCGCACGCACCUGGGGUCCAAAUGCAGGCGAUUCCUGAGGACGCCAUCCCUGAGGAGAGUGGCGAUGAGGACAAAGAAGACCCUGACAAGCGCAUCUCGAUCUGCUCCUCUGACAAACGAAUUGCCUGUGAGGAAGAGUUCUCCGAUUCUGAAGAGGAAGGAGAGGGGGGCCGCAAGAAUUCUUCCAACUUCAAAAAAGCCAAGAGAGUCAAAACAGAGGAUGAAAAAGAGAAAGACCCAGAGGAGAAGAAAGAAGUCACAGAAGAGGAGAAAACCAAGGAGGAAAAGCCAGAAGCCAAAGGGGUCAAGGAAGAGGUCAAGUUGGCCUGAACAGACCUCUCUAGCUCUGGCUUCCUGCUGAGUCCCUCGCCUUUCUCCCCCAACCCCUCAGAUUUUAUAUUUUCUAUUUCUCUGUGUAUUUAUAUAAAAACUUUUUAAAUAUAAAUAUCCCCAGGGACAGAAACCAAGGCCCUGAGCCCAGGGAAGCUGUGCUGGGUGAGGUCUUCCAGGGGCCGCGUUGCCACCCAUUCUUCCCCAGUUCUUAACUUUGAACCAUAAAGGGUGCCAGGUCUGGGUGAAAGGGAUGCUUUUAUGCAACCAUAAGACAAAAUUCUGAAAUGCGAAGUGCCUGCUUAGUAGCUUUGGAAAGGUGCCCUUAUUGAACAUUCUAGAAGGGGUGUCUGGGUCUUCAAGGAUCUCCUAUUCUUUUCAGGCUCCUAAGAUAACAUCAGCCAUUUUUAGAUUGUUUCUGUUUUCAUACCUUCCCACUGGCCUCAAGUGAGCCACGAAACACUGCCUGCUCCCUGUCUUCUCCUAAUUCUGCAGGUGGAGAUCGCCAGUCUAGUUUCCUUUUUGAGAUAUUAUUUUC